rnacentral:rRNA from 1 species
AGUGAACGCUGGCGGUAGGCCUAACACAUGCAAGUCGAACGGCAGCACAGUAAGAGCUUGCUCUUACGGGUGGCGAGUGGCGGACGGGUGAGGAAUACAUCGGAAUCUACUUUUUCGUGGGGGAUAACGGAGGGAAACUUACGCUAAUACCGCAUACGACCUACGGGUGAAAGCAGGGGAUCUUCGGACCUUGCGCGAUUGAAUGAGCCGAUGUCGGAUUAGCUAGUUGGCGGGGUAAAGGCCCACCAAGGCGACGAUCCGUAGCUGGUCUGAGAGGAUGAUCAGCCACACUGGAACUGAGACAGGGUCCAGACUCCUACGGGAGGCAGCAGUGGGGAAUAUUGGACAAUGGGCGCAAGCCUGAUCCAGCCAUACCGCGUGGGUGAAGAAGGCCUUCGGGUUGUAAAGCCCUUUUGUUGGGAAAGAAAAGCAGCAGGUUAAUACCCCGCUGUUCUGACGGUACCCAAAGAAUAAGCACCGGCUAACUUCGUG